rnacentral:rRNA from 1 species
UACGAAGGGGGCUAGCGUUGCUCGGAAUCACUGGGCGUAAAGCGCACGUAGGCGGGUCGUUAAGUCAGGGGUGAAAUCCUGGAGCUCAACUCCAGAACUGCCCUUGAUACUGGCGAUCUCGAGUUCGGGAGAGGUGAGUGGAACUGCGAGUGUAGAGGUGAAAUUCGUAGAUAUUCGCAAGAACACCAGUGGCGAAGGCGGCUCACUGGCCCGGUACUGACGCUGAGAUGCGAAAGCGUGGGGAGCAAACAGG